AACGAACGCUGGCGACAGGCUUAACACAUGCAAGUCGAACGGGCGUAGCAAUACGUCAGUGGCAGACGGGUGAGUAACACGUGGGAACCUUCCUAGGGGUACGGAACAACUCAGGGAAACUUGAGCUAAUACCGUAUACGUCCGAGAGGAGAAAGAUUUAUCGCCCUUAGACGGGCCCGCGUCGGAUUAGGGAGUUGGUGGGGUAACGGCCUACCAAGCCGACGAUCCGUAGCUGAUCUGAGAGGAUGAUCAGCCACACUGGGACUGAGACACGGCCCAGACUCCUACGGGAGGCAGCAGUGGGGAAUCUUGGACAAUGGGCGCAAGCCUGAUCCAGCCAUGCCGCGUGAGUGAAGAAGGCCUUAGGGUUGUAAAGCUCUCUUGGCAGGGACGAUAAUGACGGUACCUGCAGAAUAAGCCCCGGCAAACUUCGUGCCAGCCGCCGCGGUAACAC
rnacentral:rRNA from 1 species